rnacentral:rRNA from 1 species
GCAUGGCUGUCGUCAGCUCGUGUCGUGAGAUGUUCGGUUAAGUCCCGCUAACGAGCGCAACCCUCAUCCUUAGUUGCCAUCAUUGAGUUGGGAACUCUAAGGAAACUGCCUCGGUUAACGGGGAGGAAGGUGGGGAUGACGUCAAGUCCUCAUGGCCUUUAUGACCAGGGCUACACACGUACUACAAUGGCAGGUACAAAGGGCAGCCACUUAGCGAUAAGGCGCGAAUCCCGUAAAACCUGUCUCAGUCCGGAUUGGAGUCUGCAACUCGACUCCAUGAAGUUGGAAUCGCUAGUAAUCGCAGAUCAGCACGCUGCGGUGAAUACGUUCCCGGGCCUU